rnacentral:misc_RNA from 1 species
AAGUAAUUGACCUGUUGACAUCCCUAGACUCCGCAUGGAGAUGCUCAUAAAAAAUAUAUAAAAAGAAAAAGGGCAAAGAUGUUCUGUCGGAGGCUGCAAAAAUGUGCUCUUGAAAAAGAAGCAAAGCAAAGCCAAGCAAAAACCCUUUCAUUCAUAGCUUCCGUAGCGGCUGCCUUUCAGUGUCUGAGCCUUCACACGCAAUUCCAAAAUCCCAACUAAGAAUGGCUCAAUCUCUGGAAUUGUUGCUUAUUCAAUUCUUGAUGCCUGACAACGAUGCUCGGAGGCAGGCUGAGGAGCAGAUUAAGAGGUUGGCUAAGGAUCCCCAGGUGGUUCCCGCCCUAGUCCAGCACCUCCGCACCGCUAAGACCCCCAACGUACGCCAACUCGCCGCUGUUCUCCUCCGUAAGAAGAUCACCGGCCACUGGGCCAAGCUCCCCCCUCAACUCAAGCAGCUUGUCAAGAACUCCUUAAUUGAGAGCAUCACUAUGGAGCACAGUCCGCCAGUAAGACGAGCAAGUGCAAACGUAGUGAGUAUCAUUGCAAAAUAUGCUGUUCCAGCAGGAGAGUGGCCUGAUUUACUGCCUUUUUUGUUCCAAUGUAGUCAAAGUGCACAAGAAGACCAUAGAGAAGUGGCGUUGAUCCUUUUUAGCUCUUUAACUGAAACAAUCGGGAGUGCAUUUCAACCUCAUUUCACGGAUUUGCAAGCUCUUUUACUUAAGUGCCUGCAAGAUGAGACUAGCAAUCGUGUUAGAGUCGCUGCUCUCAAGGCUGUAGGUUCUUUUCUAGAAUUUACAAAUGAUGGAGCUGAAGUGGUAAAGUUUCGGCAGUUCAUUCCAAGCAUUUUGAAUGUAGCAAGACAAUGCCUCGCCUCCGGUGAGGAAGAUGUUGCUGUAAUUGCUUUUGAAAUUUUCGAUGAGCUUAUAGAAUCUCCAGCUCCUCUUCUUGGAGAUUCAGUAAAAUCCAUUGUGCAGUUCUCUCUUGAAGUUUGCUCAAGUCAAAAUUUGGAAUCCAAUACACGUCAUCAGGCUAUUCAAAUAAUUUCAUGGCUGGCCAAGUACAAAUAUACUUCCCUGAAAAAGUAUAAGUUGGUCAUUCCCAUUCUGCAAGUGAUGUGCCCCUUGCUUACUGAAUCAAACAAUGCUGAUGAAGAUGAUGAUCUUGCUCCAGAUCGAGCUGCUGCAGAAGUUAUUGACACAAUGGCUUUGAACCUCUCAAAACAUGUCUUUCCCCCUGUUCUUGAGUUUGCUUCGAUUAAUAGUCAGAAUACAAAUCCCAAGAAUCGGGAAGCUUCUGUUACAGCUCUAGGUGUUAUUUCAGAGGGUUGUUUGGACUUGAUGAAAGAUAAGAUGGAACCUGUCCUUCAUAUUGUGUUAGGAGCAUUGAGGGAUCCAGAACAAAUGGUUAGAGGGGCUGCCUCAUUUGCUUUGGGCCAAUUUGCUGAGCAUUUACAGCCUCAAAUUGUAUCUCAUUAUGAAAGUGUUCUUCCCUGCAUUUUAAAUGCCCUUGAGGAUGUAUCUGAUGAAGUAAAGGAGAAGUCAUACUAUGCUUUAGCUGCAUAUUGUGAGAACAUGGGUGAAGAAAUUCUUCCUUUCCUUGACCCUUUGAUGGUGAAGCUACUUGGAGCCCUUCAAAAUAGCCCCCGUAAUCUGCAGGAAACAUGCAUGUCUUCAAUUGGUUCAGUUGCCUCAGCUGCAGAGCAAGCUUUCAUUCCAUAUGCUGAAAGGGUUCUGGAGUUGAUGAAAUCUUUCAUGGUACUCACAAAUGACGAAGAUCUUCGAUCACGAGCAAGGGCCACUGAGCUUGUUGGAAUAGUUGCAAUGUCUGUUGGAAGAACAAGGAUGGAACCAAUUUUACCCCCUUUUAUGGAAGCUGCAAUUUCUGGUUUCAGCUUGGAGUUCAGUGAGCUUCGGGAGUAUACUCAUGGAUUCUUUAGCAAUGUAGCUGAAAUUUUGGAUGAGAGCUUUACACAGUAUCUUCCUCACGUUGUACCCCUGGCAUUCUUAUCCUGCAAUCUUGAUGAUGGCUCUGCAGUGGAUAUUGAUGAAUCUGAUGAUGAAAAUAUUAGUGGCUUUGGUGGAGUGUCAUCUGAUGAUGAAGCUCAUGAUGAGCCGAGAGUUCGAAAUAUCAGUAUAAGAACAGGAGUAUUGGAUGAAAAGGCAGCUGCAACUCAAGCACUUGGCUUGUUUGCGCUGCACACAAAGACUGCUUACACACCCUAUUUUGAGGAGUCAUUAAAGAUUUUGGUAAGACAUUCAGGUUAUUUUCAUGAAGAUGUUCGGCUUCAGGCAAUCAUUGCUUUAAAAUGAAAUAUGGGAUGGGACUGAUCAAAAUACUUAACUGGUUUCCUUAAAAAUAUUGUCUGGUCAUACUCAUGCCAAUUCUGGUGUUUGAUUCAUUGUUGUUGCCCAGAUAUUUUGACAGCAGCGUAUGCAAUCUUCCAAAGUCAUAAUGUGAGUAUGCAAUUGCUCUUGAAUAUCCUGUCUUUUUCAUUUUUUUGGAGAAACUUUACUUCUCCUUCUAGACCCGGCCCCACCUCCCCACCUCUUUUCUCUUUUUCCUGCAUGGACUGAUGGCUUCUGAAUGUUUAUGUGAUACCUUCUACAUCCCAUGACAUCUGGCUGUGUUAGUUUUGGUCUUAGUAUGCAAAUUUAAGGCAUUUAGCUUGAUUAUUAAAAUUAGUAUAACCAUAUGGUCAAUGUUUUAAAGCUCACAUUUUGUGAGAAUGAAAUGAAGAACUUCUAUUAGGUGGCUAGAUAUCCCCUUUUUGUUUUCUGGCCGAGAGUUGGAUAGCUGUUACAAGAUAAUGGUUCUUGGUUUAUUUUUUAUUUUUUCUGCAGGAGGGAGCAGCAAAGGCACGAGAAGUUCUUGAUAAUGUGAUGCGAAUUUAUAUCAAGACUAUGACUGAAGAUGAUGACAAGGAAGUUGUUGCUCAAGCUUGCAUGAGUAUAGCAGACAUUUUUAAGGAUUAUGGUUUCAUGGUUCUUGAACCUUAUAUGUCUCAGCUUAUUGAUGCAACUUUGAUAUUGCUUAGAGAGGAAUCAGCUUGUCAGCAAUCAGAUAAUGAUAGUGACAUUGAUGAUGCUGAUACUGAACAUGAUGAAGUGCUUAUGGAUGCAGUUUCUGACCUUCUUCCUGCAUUUGCAAAAUCUAUGGGUGCACAUUUUGCACCAAUCUUUGUCAAUCUAUUUGAACCUUUGAUGAAAUUUGCGAAAUCUUCACGCCCUCCACAAGAUCGAACUAUGGUUGUUGCUUGCCUUGCUGAAGUUGCUCAGGAUAUGGGUGCUCCAAUAGCAGGCUAUGUUGAUAGGAUAAUGCCCUUAGUGCUAAAAGAACUAGCAUCAUCAGAGGCCACCAAUAGAAGGAAUGCUGCAUUUUGUGUUGGUGAGUUGUGCAAAAAUGGAGGCGAAUCAACUUUGAAAUACUAUGGUGAUAUUUUACGUGCGCUUUACCCAUUAUUUGGGGAAUCUGAACCAGAUGAUGCUGUCAGUGAUAAUGCAGCUGGUGCAGUGGCAAGGAUGAUAAUGGUCCAUCCCCAGUCCAUCCCAUUGAAUCAGGUGCUUCCUGCUUUCUUGAAAGUUCUUCCAUUAAAAGAAGAUCGUGAAGAGUCCAUGGCUGUAUACAGUUGUGUGUCUACUCUUGUUUUGUCAUCUAAUCCACAGAUCCUUGCACUUGUCCCCGAAUUGGUUAAUCUUUUUGCUCAAGUUGUGGUUUCUCCAGUUGAAACUCCAGAAGUUAAGGCUCAAGUAGGAAGAGCAUUUUCUCAUCUGAUUUCACUAUAUGGCCAUCAAAUGCAGCCUCUAUUGAGCAACCUUUCACCAGCACAUGCAAAUGCUCUAGCUGCAUUUGCCCCUAAAACUUGAUGCAUGAUUGAUUAUAUCAGCUGGCCUUCUUCCCCUAUUUUUCUUUUUGUUUUCAUUAUGAAGCUUGUUUCUCAAGGAAUUAUUUUGUGGCUUAUGCUUUAGUGAGCACACUAAGAGCAGGCGGGUCAUUACCUCAUCACCAGGUAUGUGAGGAAUUUCAAUGGGAUAAUUGACACAUGCUAAUGUCUUGAAAACAUAAAAACCUAUGUGAGAUAUAUUAAUUGUGGAAUUAAUCUAUUUACUGCUCAGUAUAACAUAUAAAGAAUGUAACUGUUCUGGGAUAUGGCAAUCAAUAAAUGAAUCUCCAAAAUUUAAUAUGGUUAAAAGCAUCCAGCAUGAUGAUGGCAAAUUGAAUCCUGCUAACAUCUUCAUGGCCCCUUUUUAUUUUGUGGGUAAUUAUAAGGUCAAACUUGGCAAAAUUUUAAAACCUAAAAUCCUAUUUGGGUAUUGUUUUGGUUUACAUUUGCAUUAAUUAGUACAACUUUGCUUUUCAUUUGCUUUAUAUUGUAUCUGCUUCAUUAGCAUAAGUUAAUACAAAUUUGCUUACCUUUAUUACAGGUUGGAUUGCGAUUGCUUUCUCCAUUUCUCCCGUAAAUCACUACUUUUUCCUCCUCUCUGUAUCUUAUGUUAUUCAAAUUUUCAGUAUUGUUGUUUCUCUAUUUCAUUUAUUAUAGCUCCAGUGUUCAAUUUCUUGGUUUUUCGAGGUUUGAGUUAUAUCAGGGUUUUGAGUGUUCUAAAGGGUAUAAAUUCAUGAGUUAUCCUCAAUUUUAAAGCAGGAGUAUAGAUUUUUAUAAUUUAAUUUAAUGUAGGGCAGUAAGAGUUUUGUGUAUAAAGCACAAGUAACAUAAACAAUUAAAGUUUUGUUUGCUCAAAUAUUGAUUUCUUAUGAUAAUUU